AGCAGACGUGCGCUCUGUUGCUCCGCAGUCCCCGCGCUCGCUCAGUUUCUUCCUGGCUCUUGGAUGGAGCUCGCCGCAGGGGAAAAAGGAUUGCAGACCUUUUGGGUCGUGCGGAGGAAUGGAGUGGACUCGACCGGUGGACAAAGUCACUAGGUGCCACACACUGCCAUAGCCGAGCACAUGUCUAACUGCUAGAUUGACAGUCCCGCAUAUCACAGCUGCAUCCCAAGAUAUUCUUCCACGGACUGCAUGUGCAGUCAUGUUCCAUUUAUCUACAACGCAGCUGCCCAGAGAACCUGUAUCGGGACACGAAAUGAUGGGAUAUGGCCUCGAGCUAUUUUGAGCCCAUCAUACGGGCUCAUGCCACAUCAACUGACCAGUAUGCCUGAACUUUUGCCUGGCCGGUGGAUUCCAUUGGAGCGAAGGGUGAUUGACUCAUCAUAGCACCCAAGAAUCCGUGUACAAAAACACA